rnacentral:rRNA from 1 species
UGCGCAGGCGGGCUUGUAAGUCAGUGGUGAAAUACUGCCGCUCAACGGUAGAACUGCCUUUGAUACUGCAAGUCUUGAAUAUGGUUGAGGUAGGCGGAAUGUGUCGUGUAGCGGUGAAAUGCAUAGAUAUGACACAGAACGCCAAUUGCGAAGGCAGCUUACUAAGCCGUUAUUGACGCUGAGGCACGAAAGCGUGGGGAGCGAACAGGAUUAGAUACCCUGGUAGUCC